UCCCCCAGCCUUCCCUACUGACCACAGGCAGCAUGCAUUGUGUGUGUGUGUGUGUGUUUGUACAUAUAUGUAAACAUCGUCUUCCGGCCCGAGUUUCUGAGGAAAUCCAGGCUCCCCUUCCUCCCACUGUGCACUUGUCUGUCCUCCCAGGCCCACGCGGCUGCUGAGUUAGUAAUGUAAUAUUCAGGGACCCCGAGACCGGAAAUGCCUGGGUCUGAAAGCUGCACUUGAAACACGAGAAAAGGGAUGGAGAAAGUGAACGUGGGAUGUAGACGUAGGAGGUGUGUGGGGUGGACUGUGGAGGUGAAAAGCCGCCCAACUUGCAAUUCAGGGGUAGGCGAGGAAGAAAACGAGGGAUGAGGGGGAGGCUGAGGCAGUUGCAAAGUCAAAAUUCCAGGAGCCAGAGGAGGAGGUGGAGGAAGCAGACAUGAGGGCCGAGAGAAGGAGAGAGGGGGCACAAGAAAGGCUCUGCAGGUGUUGCAGGGCUGUGUUUAGGGACACCAGAGGUGACCCUCAAACGCCUAUAAAGGAGGGGACUCGGAUCCCAGCAGCAAGAAAUGUAUGUGGCCCUGGCAGUCCUGGAACGUACUCUGAAGAUCAGGCUGGCCUCCAUCUCAGAGAUCAGCCUACCUCUGCCUCCCAAGUGCUGGAAUUAAAGGUCCUGAGUUCAAAUCCCAGCAACCAUCUGUGAUGAGAUCUGAUGCCUUCUUCUGGUGUGUGAAAACAUCU